CUCUGUGACUCCGUACGGGAGGCAGCAGGUGGGGAAUAUUGCACAAUCGGGGGAAACCCUGAUGCAGCCAUGCCGCGUGUGUGAAGAAGGCCUUCGGGUUGUAAAGCACUUUCAGUAGGGAGGAAGGUAGUGUAGUUAACACCUGCACUAUUUGACGUUACCUACAGAAGAAGCACCGGCUAACUCCGUGCCAGCAGCCGCGGUAAUACGGAGGGUGCGAGCGUUAAUCGGAAUUACUGGGCGUAAAGCGCAUGCAGGCGGCCUGUUAAGUCAGAUGUGAAAGCCCCGGGGCUUAACCUCGGAAUUGCAUUUGAAACUGGCAGGCUAGAGUCUUGUAGAGGGGGUAGAAUUUCAGGUGUAGCGGUGAAAUGCGUAGAGAUCUGAAGGAAUACCAGUGGCGAAGGCGGCCCCCUGGACAAAGACUGACGCUCAGAUGCGAAAGCGUGGGGAGCAAACAGGAUUAGAUACCCUGGUAG
rnacentral:rRNA from 1 species